ACCUGCUGGUCUCACCGCUAGGGCCUGGGCAUCACAGGCAGGGGGAAUGGGGAGGGGACGGUAGCGUCAGCCUACACCCACACGCAGUUUCCUGAUAAAAGGUCCUUUGGAAACUUUGAUUCUCUUCUCACCAAGUUGAACGGAGAUGUGUUCCCAUAGUAAGAGUGAGGCCCCUGCAUUUGCUGCCCUCGGUUUUCCCAACUAACACCAGGGCCUCCCCCCUGUACCCCAUUCAUAUGCCUCAGAAGCUGACAAUGACUGUUGGGCUUUUCCAAUGAAUACCAGAACACCAUUUCCUGCAGCCUGAAAAGAAGACAGUAUAAUUGUUUGGCAGCAAGAGAAUGUAGCAUCAAAUUACAUCCCAGCUACCCGGGAGGCUGAGGCAGGAGACUCGCUUGAACCCAGGAGGCGGAGGUUGCAGUAAGCUGAGAUUGCGCCACUGCACUCCAGCCUGGGCGACAAGAGUGAAACUCCGUCUUAAAAUAAAAAUUUUAAAAAAUUGGUUUCCCUGGGCACAGGACAUUGCACCGGAUUGGGGAGCAUUUCCCCUACUCUGUUAGGACAUUAUGUAACAAAGACUGAGGGUUCUUGUGUUAUUUAUAACAAAAGGCCAAAAAUAGUUACAUUUGAGUUGGUUCAUGUAGUGAACUAUUGUGUAGCUGUUAAAAGGCAUUUGAAGACUUUUUCAUGACAGAAGGAAAAAGGCAUAUUCCAAAACUGUAUGUACAGUAUGUUCAUAAUUUUAUAAAGUAUCUAUGUGCAUAGGAACUUUGCAGAAAGACACCAAAAUCUCCAGAAGUUGGAAUUCUGGCUGAUUUUUAUUUUAUCAUUUUUUUUUAUUUUCCACAAUGAACAUUAUUAUCAUGAGAAUAAAAGAAAUCCCAUAUUAUAAAA
ensembl:lncRNA novel transcript